rnacentral:rRNA from 1 species
CUAACCUGCCCACUGAUUUAUUGAAGGGCCGCGGUAUAUUGACUGUGCAAAGGUAGCAUAAUCAUUUGUCUUUUAAUUGAAGGCUAGAAUGAAUGGUUGAAUGAAGUAUUAACUGUCUCAUUUUAAUAAAUAUAAAAAUUUAAUUUUUUAGUCAAAAAGCUAAAAUAAAUUUAGAGGACGAGAAGACCCUAUAGAUCUUUAUAAUAAAAUUUAAUAAAAAAUUUUAGAUUAAUAAAAAAUUUAUUAAAUAUAAUUAUUUGGUUGGGGUGACAGGAAAAUUUAAUUAACUAUUUUUAUAUUUAUACAAUAAUUUUUGAAUAUUUGAUCCAAUUUUAUUGAUUAAAAAAUUAAGUUACCUUAGGGAUAACAGCGUAAUUUUUUUAGAGAGUUCUUAUCGAUAAAAAAGAUUGCGACCUCGAUGUUGAAUUAAAGAU